GGGCCGGAGCCAGUAAACAGGCUUCCUUCUCGCUCUGCUGUAUAAGAAGAAGAAGUAGGAGAAACAAAAUAAGGAGGAGAAGAAGUAAAAUAAUUUGAGAAGGAAUAUGAAGGUGAAACAUGAAGAUGAUGGUGGACAGGUGAGCUACGCAGUUCGUGGAAGAACCAGG
rnacentral:lncRNA from 2 species